AAAGAGCUUGUAGGCGGUUUGUCGCGUCUGCUGUGAAAGGCCGGGGCUUAACCCCGUGUAUUGCAGUGGGUACGGGCAGACUAGAGUGCAGUAGGGGAGACUGGAAUUCCUGGUGUAGCGGUGGAAUGCGCAGAUAUCAGGAGGAACACCGAUGGCGAAGGCAGGUCUCUGGGCUGUAACUGACGCUGAGAAGCGAAAGCAUGGGGAGCGAACAGGAUUAGAUACCCUGGUAGUCCAUGCCGUAAACGUUGGGCACUAGGUGUGGGGGACAUUCCACGUUUUCCGCGCCGUAGCUAACGCAUUAAGUGCCCCGCCUGGGGAGUACGGCCGCAAGGCUAAAACUCGAAGAAAUUGACGGGGGCCCGCACAAGCGGCGGAGCAUGCGGAUUAAUUCGAUGCAACGCGAAGAACCUUACCAAGGCUUGACAUAUACUGGACCGCAUCAGAGAUGGUGUUUCCCUUCGGGGCUGGUAUACAGGUGGUGCAUGGUUGUCGUCAGCUCGUGUCGUGAGAUGUUGGGUUAAGUCCCGCAACGAGCGCAACCCUCGUUCUAUGUUGCCAGCACGUUAUGGUGGGGACUCAUAGGAGACUGCCGGGGUCAACUCGGAGGAAGGUGGGGAUGACGUCAAAUCAUCAUGCCCCUUAUGUCUUGGGCUUCACGCAUGCUACAAUGGCCGGUACAGAGGGUUGCGAUACUGUGAGGUGGAGCUAAUCCCUAAAAGCCGGUCUCAGUUCGGAUUGGGGUCUGCAACUCGACCCCAUGAAGUCGGAGUCGCUAGUAAUCGCAGAUCAGCAACGCUGCGGUGAAUACG
rnacentral:rRNA from 1 species